rnacentral:rRNA from 1 species
UACGGAGGAUCCAAGCGUUAUCCGGAUUUAUUGGGCGUAAAGGGCUCGUAGGCGGCCAACUAAGUCAGACGUGAAAUCCCCAGGCUCAACCUGGGAACUGCGUCUGAUACUGGAUGGCUUGAAUCCGGGAGAGGGAUGCAGAAUUCCAGGUGUAGCGGUGAAAUGCGUAGAUAUCGGAAGGAACACCAGUGGCGAAAGCGGCUUCCUGGUCCGACACCGACGUUCAGGCACGAAAGCGUGGGGAGCGAACAGG